AGAGUUUGAUCCUGGCUCAGAUUGAACGCUGGCGGCAGGCCUAACACAUGCAAGUCGAGCGGUAGAGAGAAGCUUGCUUCUCUUGAGAGCGGCGGACGGGUGAGUAAUGCCUAGGAAUCUGCCUGGUAGUGGGGGAUAACGUUCGGAAACGGACGCUAAUACCGCAUACGUCCUACGGGAGAAAGCAGGGGACCUUCGGGCCUUGCGCUAUCGGAUGAGCCUAGGUCGGAUUAGCUAGUUGGUGAGGUAAUGGCUCACCAAGGCGACGAUCCGUAACUGGUCUGAGAGGAUGAUCAGUCACACUGGAACUGAGACACGGUCCAGACUCCUACGGGAGGCAGCAGUGGGGAAUAUUGGACAAUGGGCGAAAGCCUGAUCCAGCCAUGCCGCGUGUGUGAAGAAGGUCUUCGGAUUGUAAAGCACUUUAAGUUGGGAGGAAGGGUUGUAGAUUAAUACUCUGCAAUUUUGACGUUACCGACAGAAUAAGCACCGGCUAACUCUGUGCCAGCAGCCGCGGUAAUACAGAGGGUGCAAGCGUUAAUCGGAAUUACUGGGCGUAAAGCGCACGUAGGUGGUUUGUUAAGUUGGAUGUGAAAUCCCCGGGCUCAACCUGGGAACUGCAUUCAAAACUGACUGACUAGAGUAUGGUAGAGGGUGGUGGAAUUUCCUGUGUAGCGGUGAAAUGCGUAGAUAUAGGAAGGAACACCAGUGGCGAAGGCGACCACCUGGACUAAUACUGACACUGAGGUGCGAAAGCGUGGGGAGCAAACAGGAUUAGAUACCCUGGUAGU
rnacentral:rRNA from 1 species